rnacentral:rRNA from 1 species
UACGUAGGGUGCAAGCGUUAAUCGGAAUUACUGGGCGUAAAGCGUGCGCAGGCGGUCGUGCAAGACAGAUGUGAAAUCCCCGGGCUUAACCUGGGAACUGCAUUUGUGACUGCAAGGCUAGAGUACGGUAGAGGGGGAUGGAAUUCCGCGUGUAGCAGUGAAAUGCGUAGAUAUGCGGAGGAACACCGAUGGCGAAGGCAAUCCCCUGGACCUGUACUGACGCUCAUGCACGAAAGCGUGGGGAGCAAACAGG